AUGCCAGUUAAGUGAAUUCUUUGCCACAGUCUUAGAAUGAGAGAUAAGCUGUGCAAGGUUCGCUUAGGCUGGAAU
rnacentral:pre_miRNA from 1 species